rnacentral:rRNA from 1 species
AUUGAACGCUGGCGGCAUGCUUUACACAUGCAAGUCGAACGGCAGCGCGGGCUUCGGCCUGGCGGCGAGUGGCGAACGGGUGAGUAAUACAUCGGAACGUGCCCAGUAGUGGGGGAUAGCUCGGCGGAAGCCGGAUUAAUACCGCAUACGACCUGAGGGUGAAAGCGGGGGAUCUUCGGACCUCGCGCUAUUGUAGCGGCCGAUGGCAGAUUAGCUAGUUGGUGGGGUAAAGGCAUACCAAGGCGACGAUCUGUAGCUGGUAUGAGAGGACGACCAGCCACACUGGGACUGAGACACGGCCCAGACUCCUACGGGAAGACGCAGUGGGGACUUUUGGACGAUGGGGGAAAGCCUGAUCCAGCAAUGCCGCGUGUGUGAUGAAGGCCUUCGGGUUGUAAAGCACUUUUGGCGGGAACGAAAAGGACUGUGCCCAUACCACGGUUCGAUGACGGUACCCGAAGAAUAAGCACCGGCUAACUACGUG